rnacentral:rRNA from 1 species
CGUAGGUGGCAAGCGUUGUCCGGAUUUACUGGGCGUAAAGGAUGCGUAGGCGGAUAUUUAAGUCAGAUGUGAAAUACCCGAGCUUAACUUGGGUGCUGCAUUUGAAACUGGAUAUCUAGAGUGUGGGAGAGGAAAGUGGAAUUCCUAGUGUAGCGGUGAAAUGCGUAGAGAUUAGGAAGAACACCAGUGGCGAAGGCGACUUUCUGGACCAUAACUGACGCUGAGGCAUGAAAGCGUGGGGAGCAAACAGGAUUAGAUACCCUGGUAGUCCACGCCGUAAACGAUGGGUACUAGGUGUAGGGGGUAUCGACUCCCUCUGUGCCGCAGUUAACACAAUAAGUACCCCGCCUGGGGAGUACGGUCGCAAGAUUA